rnacentral:lncRNA from 10 species
CAGAAAGGGACAGAGACGGCGAAGUUUGACGGUCUGGAAAGCAGAGACCAGCAGGGCUGACUGCUUGGGAGCGCCUCUCGGGAGGUCCGAGAAGAGAACCGCGAUCUGUUUCAGCACCGGGGCUCAGGACAGUUCCCAGCGGGCUCCGUUUCGUCUCCAGAACCCUGGACAGCUCCUCCAGUAGAGACGGGGUUUCACCAUGUUGGCCAGGCUGGUCUCAAACUCUUGACCUCUUCAUCCGUCCACCUCAGCCUCCCAAAGUGCUAGGAUUACAGGCGUGAGUCACUGCGCCUGGCCCAAGUCCGGAAUUUUCAACAGGACAUGGGUGUUACUGUGCCCAUGUGACAUUUGGGGAACCCAAGGCCCUGAGAAAGGCAGAAAAAUAACCCACGCAGGGACUCUCAGCCCACAAGUGAAGCUAUCAGACCCUGCUUCUCUCCAGGAGAACCGGGAAUGGAAAACAGGGAGGCAGCACAGAGGCAGGAAACUCAGGUGUCAUAGCUUGGCUCAGCUUGGAAUGCACUCCCUCCACCUCCAACCAGAGCUCCCCACAACUGACCCUGCCUUCUUCUGCAAGCUCCAUUUCAUCAAGGGAAACGAUCCUUAUUGCCUCACCAUUUCCCACGUGAAGUCUGUAUUGACAUUCUCAUAGACCUGGGAUAUUGUGUCUGCAGCACAUAGUCCAAUUAUUUUCAUGUUAUCUACUGACAGGUCUAUUUGUCUCCCUGUUACACUGUGAGCUCCGUGAGGGCAGAAACAAUGUUAGUAUUUUCACUGCUGUGUCCCCAGCGCCUGGUCCGGGGCCCGGCACACAGCAGGCAUAUAAUAAGCAUGUGUUGAAUCAAUAAAGGCAUCAAAGAAUAAA